rnacentral:rRNA from 1 species
GACGAACGCUGGCGGCGUGCUUAACACAUGCAAGUCGAACGGUAAGGCCCUUCGGGGUACACGAGUGGCGAACGGGUGAGUAACACGUGGGUGAUCUGCCCUGCACUUCGGGAUAAGCCUGGAAACUGGGUCUAAUACCGGAUAGGACUCCGGACUGCAUGGUCUGGGGUGGAAAGCUUUUGCGGUGUGGGAUGGGCCCGCGGCCUAUCAGCUUGUUGGUGGGGUGAUGGCCUACCAAGGCGACGACGGGUAGCCGGCCUGAGAGGGUGACCGGCCACACUGGGACUGAGAUACGGCCCAGACUCCUACGGGAGGCAGCAGUGGGGAAUAUUGCACAAUGGGCGCAAGCCUGAUGCAGCGACGCCGCGUGAGGGAUGACGGCCUUCGGGUUGUAAACCUCUUUCAGCAUCGACGAAGCGAAAGUGACGGUAGGCGCAGAAGAAGGACCGGCCAACUACGUGCCAGCCGCCGCGGUAA